UACGGGGGGGCAAGCGUUGUUCGGAAUUACUGGGCGUAAAGGGCUCGUAGGCGGCCAACUAAGUCAGACGUGAAAUCCCCAGGCUUAACCUGGGAACUGCGUCUGAUACUGGAUGGCUUGAAUUCGGGAGAGGGAUGCAGAAUUCCAGGUGUAGCGGUGAAAUGCGUAGAUAUUUGGAGGAAUACCGGUGGCGAAGGCGGCAUCCUGGACCGACAUUGACGCUGAUGAGCGAAAGCUAGGGGAGCAAACGGG
rnacentral:rRNA from 1 species